rnacentral:rRNA from 1 species
UACGGAGGAUGCAAGCGUUAUCCGGAAUUAUUGGGCGUAAAGAGCUCGUAGGCGGUCUGUCACGUCGGCUGUGAAAACCCGAGGCUCAACCUCGGGCCUGCAGUCGAUACGGGCAAACUAGAGUACUGCAGGGGAGACUGGAAUUCCUGGUGUAGCGGUGAAAUGCGCAGAUAUCAGGAGGAACACCGGUGGCGAAGGCGGGUCUCUGGGCAGUAACUGACGCUGAGGAGCGAAAGCGUGGGGAGCGAACAGG